GCUCAGAGCGAACGCNGGCGGCAUGCUUAACACAUGCAAGUCGCACGGGCAGGGUAACCUGUCAGUGGCGGACGGGUGAGUAACGCGUAGGUAUCUAUCCUCGGGUGGGGGACAACCACGGGAAACUGUGGCUAAUACCGCAUGAUGACUGAGGUCCAAAGGCGCAAGUCGCCUGGGGAGGAGCCUGCGUCCGAUUAGCUUGUUGGUGGGGUAACGGCCUACCAAGGCUCCGAUCGGUAGCUGGUCUGAGAGGAUGAUCAGCCACACUGGGACUGAGACACGGCCCAGACUCCUACGGGAGGCAGCAGUGGGGAAUAUUGGACAAUGGGCGAAAGCCUGAUCCAGCAAUGCCGCGUGUGUGAAGAAGGUCUUCGGAUUGUAAAGCACUUUCGACGGGGACGAUGAUGACGGUACCCGUAGAAGAAGCCCCGGCUAACUUCGUGCCAGCAGCCGCGGUAAUACGAAGGGGGCUAGCGUUGCUCGGAUUGACUGGGCGUAAAGGGCGCGUAGGCGGUUUGUACAGUCAGACGUGAAAUUCCUGGGCUCAACCUGGGGGCUGCGUUUGAUACGUGCAGACUUGAGUUCGGAAGAGGGUCGUGGAAUUCCCAGUGUAGAGGUGAAAUUCGUAGAUAUUGGGAAGAACACCGGUGGCGAAGGCGGCGACCUGGUCCGAUACUGACGCUGAGGCGCGAAAGCGUGGGGAGCAAACAGGAUUAGAUACCCUGGUAGUCCACGCCGUAAACGAUGUGCGCUGGAUGUUGGGUGACAUAGUCAUUCAGUGUCGUAGCUAACGCGAUAAGCGCACCGCCUGGGGAGUACGGCCGCAAGGUUGAAACUCA
rnacentral:rRNA from 1 species